GACGAACGCUGGCGGCGUGCUUAACACAUGCAAGUCGAACGGACAGGCCCUGCUUUUGUGGGGUGCUCGUGUGGCGAACGGGUGAGUAACACGUGAGUAACCUGCCCCUGUCUUUCGGAUAACUCCAGGAAACUGGGGCUAAUACAGGAUAGGAUCUCCUGAUGCGUGGUGGGGGUUGGAAAGAUUCGGCGGUUGGGGAUGGACUCGCGGCUUAUCAGCUUGUUGGUGGGGUAGUGGCUUACCAAGGUUUUGACGGGUAGCCGGCCUGAGAGGGUGACCGGCCACAUUGGGACUGAGAUACGGCCCAGACUCCUACGGGAGGCAGCAGUGGGGAAUAUUGCACAAUGGGCGGAAGCCUGAUGCAGCGACGCCGCGUGCGGGAUGACGGCCUUCGGGUUGUAAACCGCUUUCGCCUGUGACGAAGCGUGAGUGACGGUAAUGGGUAAAGAAGCACCGGCUAACUACGUG
rnacentral:rRNA from 1 species